GGAUUAGAUACCCUGGUAGUCCACGCCGUAAACGAUGUGUGCUAGGUCGAUGUGGGUUUGGCCCCAUGUCGUCCGCAGAGAAAUCAUUAAGCACACCGCCUGGGGAGUACGGUCGCAAGGCUAAAACUCAAAGGAAUUGACGGGGGCUCACACAAGCGGUGGAGCAUGUUGCUUAAUUCGAAGCAACGCGAAGAACCUUACCUAGGCUUGACAUGCACGGAUUAGCUCGGUGAAAGUCGAGUGACGCCCUCGGGUGGAACGUGCACAGGUGCUGCAUGGCUGUCGUCAGCUCGUGUCG
rnacentral:rRNA from 1 species